rnacentral:rRNA from 1 species
UGGGAGCUUGCUCCCUGAAGUCAGCGGCGGACGGGUGAGUAACACGUGGGUAACCUGCCUGUAAGACUGGGAUAACUCCGGGAAACCGGGGCUAAUACCGGAUAGUUCUUUUCCUCGCAUGAGGAAAAGUGGAAAGGUGGCUUCGGCUACCACUUACAGAUGGACCCGCGGCGCAUUAGCUAGUUGGUGAGGUAACGGCUCACCAAGGCGACGAUGCGUAGCCGACCUGAGAGGGUGAUCGGCCACACUGGGACUGAGACACGGCCCAGACUCCUACGGGAGGCAGCAGUAGGGAAUCUUCCGCAAUGGACGAAAGUCUGACGGAGCAACGCCGCGUGAGUGAUGAAGGUUUUCGGAUCGUAAAGCUCUGUUGUUAGGGAAGAACAAGUGCCGUUCGAAUAGGGCGGCACCUUGACGGUACCUAACCAGAAAGCCACGGCUAACUACGUGCCAGCAGCCGCGGUAAUACGUAGGUGGCAAGCGUUGUCCGGAAUUAUUGGGCGUAAAGCGCGCGCAGGCGGUCUCUUAAGUCUGAUGUGAAAGCCCACGGCUCAACCGUGGAGGGUCAUUGGAAACUGGGG